ACGGGGUGCAGCAGGCGCGAAAACUUUGCAAUACGCGUAAGUGUGACAGGGCUAUCCCGAGUGCCAUCCGCUGAGGAAGGCUUUUACCCAGUCUAGAACGCUGGGGGAAUAAGGAGAGGGCAAGUCUGGUGUCAGCCGCCGCGGUAAUACCAGCUCUCCGAGUGGUGUGGAUGUUUAUUGGGCCUAAAGCAUCCGUAGCUGGCUAAGUUAGUCCCUUGUUAAAUCCACCGAAUUAAUCGUUGGAUUGCGGGGGAUACUGCUCGGCUAGGGGACGGGAGAGGCAGACGGUAUUUCCGGGGUAAGGGUGAAAUCUUAUAAUCCCGGGAAGACCACCAGUGGCGAAGGCUGUCUGCUAGAACGCGCCCGACGGUGAGGGAUGAAAGCUGGGGUAGCGAACCGGAUUAGAUACCCGGGUAGUCCCAGCCGUAAACGAUGCAGGCUAGGUGUUUGGGCGGCCACGUGCCGCUCUAGUACCGCAGGGAAGCUGUUAAGCCUGCCGCCUGGGGAGUACGAUCGCAAGAUUGAAACUUAAAGGAAUUGGCGGGGGAGCAC
rnacentral:rRNA from 1 species